rnacentral:rRNA from 1 species
GACGAACGCUGGCGGCGUGCUUAACACAUGCAAGUCGAACGGCAAGGCCCUUCGGGGUACUCGAGUGGCGAACGGGUGAGUAACCCGUGGGUGAUCUCCCCUGCACUUUGGUUUAAGCCUGGGAAACUGGGUCUAAUCCCAAAUAGGUCCCCCCUCUUCAUGGUGUGUGGUGGAAAGCUUUUGCGGUUUGUGAUGGGCUCGCGUCCUACCAUCUUGUUUGUGGGGUAUUGGCCUACCAAGGCCACGCCGGGUAGCCGGCCUGAGAGGGUGACCGGGGACAAGAGGACUGAGAGACGCACCAGAGGCCAAUGGGAGGCAGUGGGGGGGAAUAUUACACAGUGGGAGCGAGCCUGAGACAGAGACGCCGGGUGAGGGAAGACGGUCUUUGGGUUGAGAAAAUCUUUAAGUAGAGACGAAGCGGAAGUGACGGUACCUAUAGAAGAAGCACCGGCUAACUACGUG